GGCGGAAUGGCCGAGCGGUCCAAGGCGUCAGGGUAAGGUCCUGAUCUACGUAAGUAGGCGCGGGUUCAAAUCCCGUUUCCGUCA
rnacentral:tRNA from 2 species